GACGAACGCUGGCGGCGUGCUUAACACAUGCAAGUCGAACGAAGAGCGAUGGAAGCUUGCUUCUAUCAAUCUAGUGGCGAACGGGUGAGUAACGCGUAAUCAACCUGCCCUUCAGAGGGGGACAACAGUUGGAAACGACUGCUAAUACCGCAUACGAUCUAAUCUCGGCAUCGAGGAUAGAUGAAAGGUGGCCUCUACAUGUAAGCUAUCACUGAAGGAGGGGAUUGCGUCUGAUUAGCUAGUUGGAGGGGUAACGGCCCACCAAGGCGAUGAUCAGUAGCCGGUCUGAGAGGAUGAACGGCCACAUUGGGACUGAGACACGGCCCAGACUCCUACGGGAGGCAGCAGUGGGGAAUCUUCCGCAAUGGACGAAAGUCUGACGGAGCAACGCCGCGUGAGCGAUGACGGCCUUCGGGUUGUAAAGCUCUGUUAAUCGGGACGAAAGGCCUUCUUGCGAAUAGUGAGAAGGAUUGACGGUACCGGAAUAGAAAGCCACGGCUAACUACGUG
rnacentral:rRNA from 1 species